rnacentral:hammerhead_ribozyme from 1 species
AAGCGAAACCUAGCCCCACCAGGGGCGAAGGUCUGCCGGGCGUGGUGGCCCGGUACUGAUGAGCAGCCGCAA